GCGGGGUGGCGCAGUCAGGUCAGCGCGUCAGGCACGUCCUCUUGGAAGGCCUGGAGGCCGCCGGUUCAAAUCCGGCCUCCGCACCA
rnacentral:tRNA from 1 species